rnacentral:rRNA from 1 species
AUACAGAUGGUGCGAGCGUUAAUCGGAAUUACUGGGCGUAAAGCGCGCGUAGGCGGCUUAUUAAGUCAGAUGUGAAAUCCUCGGGCUCAACCUGGGAACUGCAUCUGAUACUGGCAAGCUAGAGGUUUGGAGAGGGAAGUAGAAUUUCAGGUGUAGCGGUGAAAUGCAUAGGGAUCUGAAGGAAUACCAGUAGCGAAGGCGACUUCCUGGCCAAAAACUGACGCUGAGGUGCGAAAGCGUGGGUAGCAAACGGGAUUAGAAACCCUAGUAGUCC